rnacentral:rRNA from 1 species
UACAGAGGCCUCGAGCGUUAGGCGGAAUCACUGGGCUUAAAGCGUGUGUAGGCGGAUCGUUAAGUGUCUUGUGAAAUCCCACGGCUCACCCGUGGAACUGCUGGGCAUACUGGCGAUCUUGGGCCAACUAGGGGCAACUGGAACAAGCGGUGGAGCGGUGAAAUGCGUAGAUAUCGCUUGGAACGCCGACGGUGAAAACAGUCUGCUGGGGGUGUGCUGACGCUGAGACACGAAAGCCAGGGGAGCGAACGGG